rnacentral:rRNA from 1 species
AUUGAACGCUGGCGGAAUGCUUUACACAUGCAAGUCGAACGGCAGCACGGGGGCAACCCUGGUGGCGAGUGGCGAACGGGUGAGUAAUACAUCGGAACGUGCCCAGUCGUGGGGGAUAACGUAGCGAAAGUUACGCUAAUACCGCAUACGAUCUACGGAUGAAAGCGGGGGACCGUAAGGCCUCGCGCGAUUGGAGCGGCCGAUGUCAGAUUAGGUAGUUGGUGAGGUAAAGGCUCACCAAGCCGACGAUCUGCAGCUGGUCUGAGAGGACGACCAGCCACACUGGAACUGAGACACGGUCCAGACUCCUACGGGAGGCAGCAGUGGGGAAUUUUGGUCAAUGGACGCAAGUCUGAUCCAGCCAUUCCGCGUGCAGGAUGAAGGCCCUCGGGUUGUAAACUGCUUUUGUACGGAACGAAAAGGUCUCUCUUAAUACGGGGGGCUCAUGACGGUACCGUAAGAAUAAGCACCGGCUAACUACGUGCCAGCAGCCGCGGUAA